UGGUUGAUGACCCUCUUGUAGGACUAGGGCUAUGUGUUAGGGGUCAGGGGUUACCUCGUGGUUGAUGACCCUCUUGUAGGACUAGGGCUAUGUGUUAGGGGUCAGGGGUUACCUCGUGGUUGAUGACCCUCUUGUAGGACUAGGGCUAUGUGUUAGG